UGGACUUUCCUAUGCUAAAGAAUAUGUUUAACCCUUUCAUGCAUAGUGGUCACUACAGUGGACAGCUAUUCAAAAGCUGUUCUCUUGUAUAUGCAUGGGCUUUACUGUUAUAGUUUCAUAUCAGCCAUCACGGUGGAUGCUUGUGCACCAAAGCAAAAAAUGCCAAC